UUCCCCCGCCUCGCCACUCUGUUGCACUCGCGGGCGGCCAGCGCCGUUCCCACGUUGCUGCGGCCGCGGAGGGCAGCGCCGCCCGCCCAGGUGCAAAACACUGGGUGACUUCGGUGUGGAUUUGUUUUUAACCCCUGGAUUUGAUUCUGAUGAGGAUUCAGUGGAAGAUGCUCCAGAUUCUGGGGAAGAUGAGGGUAGAAAGCCGCCUUCAAAGCUUGACAGCAGAAAAACCCAGGGUGUAAUUUGAGACCAGCGAAAAGGAAAACUAUCAGUCCGUUUGCAACCGGCGGUGCGUCCUACGGAUCUCCCAGCUAGAGUACGUCCGCUGUUGUCACCUUCAUCCGCUGCCCAUAUUUCCGGUGCCGGGUUCCAAGUAUGAUGCAUCCGAACGAAGUCAGGCGACCUCUGACUUACCCCUUGGCCCAAGUCGUCACUGGCUGCGCUGAGGAGCGAAAGGGCCGUGCCUGGAGGCUGGGGCCGAAAACCGCCAACUUGGGCGCAGCUGGAACAGCUGGCACGAGGAGGAGAGGACGUGGGUGGAGACUUGGACUUCUCCAAUGGGGACUGAUGGACGGGCCUGGAGUGGCCUUUAUGCGCUUGGGGAGACGCGCCAUAAAAUUUGCAGUCAGGCGGGGGAGCAGUAAAAAGACUCAGCUGUGGCUAUAAAAGCUGUGGCUUUUUUGAAGGACUUCUCUGUUUCCUUGCAAGCACCCUCAGAUGAAAAAUACUUUGUAUUUUUUUGGAGCCCACAGCAAGAAAAGUUGGACUGCAUCUCCAGGGCAACACAAUGCUUGCUUUGAAUUUCCCCCCCAAUUCUUGCAAUUGCCCAUUUUCAUUUCUGUAUGCGCGGAAGACUUGUUUGAAGGGGAUGGGGAAACUUGUGCGGGUUCGUCCUGUCUCGCUGGCAGAAAUGGCUUGUAAAAACAGCCUGCCGUGUGGAUUUAUUUCUUGUGCGUGGAUCUCAGUGUGCUGAAACUGCAGCGGGCAAAACGGCUGGAUCCCGAGGGAGCACCGUUGUCCCCUGCGGCUUUCACCGUGUUGUGAUCCGUGCCCACGUCUCUUGGCACCACACCGGGCCCACCAGGAACCGAGACCCACCAGCUUGUUGUUUGAGGUCGCCCAGCAGAUCAGAUCUAGCUGUUGAGGAGCUUGCAAACCUUACAGUUUUGGUCUUGAUUUAGUCCUAAGCGAGUCAGGAUGUGUUUCUGCAGUUUGCGAGUCAGGUGGAGGAGGGCAUUGCAGAUCCCCAGAGAGUCUUAAGCUUGGCUAGGACAGCCACGUUUUGUGGCUUGUGGGAACGGGGUUGAAACUCAGAGAACCCUUGGUGGAAGCCUUUGGGUCCCAUGAAUCCCAAAUGGCGGCUUCUCUAGCUUUAAGCUGUGGGCAGUGGCAGGUAGGUGCAACAGCCAUUGUGGGCCCCUGUGCCUUGGGUGAAGGACACUUAUGUUCUCUGGCAGCCUUGGGUGGCACAAGUAGAAACUUCAGGUUCAGGUGCCAGGACAGUUUUGAGUCAGAAGAACCUAGAGCAGUGUUCCUCAACUGCGGCAACCUGAAGAUCUGUGGACAGUCUAAGUGGCUGGGCGAUUCUGGGAGUUGAACUGCCUGCAUGUCUUCAAGUUGCCAAGGUUGAACACUGACCUGGAAGGUCACAAACGCCCACCGAUCCCAGGUAGGUGCCAAAUGCGGGUGGAUGUGAACUCUGCUUUCAUUAAGCUGAGUGGCUUUUAGAUGGGUGGACCAGCACUCAGAAUUUCCCAGCUUAAUCUCUCGAAAAUUCUGGGAAUUGAAGUUCUCCCAUGUAGAAGGCAUCAGAUGGCUGCCACUCAAUUCCCGGCAUUCUGCAGCACAUCUCAGAAUUCUGGGAACUCCAGUCUGCCCAUUGGAAGAGGCAUCCUCCAGAGGGUUGGAUUUCUGUUCCCAGAAUUCUUAGCAAGAGUGAGCUGGAGAACUAUGGGAGUUAAGUCCCCCCUGCCCCUGGUAGAGAGUGCCAGAUGGUUGCCCCUCAAUUCCCAGAAUUCUGCAGCAUAUUUAAGAAUUUUGGGAGCUGCAGUCCACCCAUCAGAAGAGACUCCUUCCAGAGGGAUGGGUUUUGGCUCCAAGAAUUCUUAGCAAUGGUGGGUUAGAGAAUCAUGGGAAUCGAGGCCACUGCCCCCCAUCUGGAGACCACCAGAUGGCUACCACUCAGUUUCCAGCAUUCUCCAGCACAUUAAAAGUUAUGGGAGCAGAAGUCAAACUUGGAGGCGUUGAAAUUCUGUGCCUUCUAACAGUGGACUUCUGUUCCUAGAAUUCUUGAUGAUGGGCUGGAGAAUUCUGGAAAUUGAAGUUCACCCACCUGGGAGACAGGGAAGCCCCAUGCCCACUAGGUGGUGGGCCUCCACUCCCAGAAUUCCCUCUUAGGAACUCUGGGAAUGAGGUCCACCACCCCAGGGGCAUAGAGCCCUGAGUCCCUGUAUCUGGAUGGGAGAACCCCAGUUCCCAGGAUUCUCUAGUCCACUGUUAAGAAUUCUGGGGACUGAAGUCCCCCAACUAGAUAGCAGGUGAACAAACAGAUGCAACCCACAAUCCCCCAGCUCAUCGCUCUCCUCUGGGAGCUGAAGGUCAGCAUGGAAAUGCCACAUGAACCUCAGCCCCCAGAAUUCUGGGAAAUGGAAGCCAUCCAUCUGGGAGGCAUCAGGGCCUUGUGUGCUCUGGAGAUGUGGGCCUUCACUCCCAAAACACUCCUGCACAUGAAGAGUUCUGGGAAUGGAGGUCCAUCCAACUCAGAUGCACAGAACCUGCAUGCCCCUGGCCAGAGUGGAUUGUAAGUCCCCAGAAUCCUCAGUGAUGGGGACCCUCCCCCAUUUUUCCCCCCAGUGUAGAGAGCAGUCAGAGGGAAAAUCCUCGUGUCUUGAGGUUCCUGCCUUGCUCAUAACUAGGGAUGCACAAGGCAGGCAGUGCUUGAAAUAGGCCCCUCCUGUGUGUGCUGAGCCUGGCAGGGGCUCUGCACUUCAUUUCAAGCCCUGGCUGUGUUGUGCGCCACUACUUGCAGCAAGGGAUGCACAGAGAAGAUGCUGUGCAUGAUGGGCUGGUGGGGUACAGGGCCAAGGCGCCAGCAGCAGCCCUGGUCUUGCCAGAGGGCCCCCCUGCUCCAUGGUUGAAGCCAAGGGCCUUGGCAGGGGCUGGGAGAGGCCUAUGGAAGAUGGGGGGGGUCAGGUGGGCUGCUGGGAGAUGCCCCUUGGUCUCCAGCUGGUCCUUCUGCCCACUCCCCAUCCUCCCUAGGCCACUGCAUGUCUUCUGGGGGAACCCCUUCCCCCAUGCCAGGGGCCCAGGGAGGAGGGGGUGAGGGCUGCUGGGUUGUGCCAGUUGCCAUCUCCCAGCAGCCCACCUACCCCCACCCCAUCCUCCCUGGGACUGCCCCUGCCAAGGUUCUUGCUA